rnacentral:rRNA from 1 species
UACGUAUGGUGCAAGCGUUAUCCGGAUUUACUGGGUGUAAAGGGAGCGCAGGCGGCACGGCAAGCCUGAUGUGAAAGCCCGCGGCCCAACCGCGGGACUGCAUUGGGAACUACCGGGCUGGAGUGCCGGAGAGGUAGGCGGAAUUCCUAGUGUAGCGGUGAAAUGCGUAGAUAUUAGGAAGAACACCAGUGGCGAAGGCGGCUUUCUGGACUGAAACUGACGCUGAGGCUCGAAAGCGUGGGGAGCGAACAGG